UUUAGAUACCUGAAAACCGCCAUCGGGUCCCCUCUCAGGCGUCUCCUUUCCAAACUAAAGACGCCCAUUUCCUUCCGCCGUGCCUCCUAGUGCGUGUUUAACCAAAGUCUCUCAGGUGCAGGACUCCUCAUUGCAUUCGCUGGAACAGACUAACACGGCUCCCCUGGAGACGCAUCCCUUUCCGACAGGCUGUCUGCGUGUUCAUCCUCCAGGCCCCGUGCGGAUGCUCCAAAGCAGCAUUAGCUUGCAGGAUCUCACUGAACGUGUCAUCAAAUCUGCCCCUUUUUCCUCCUCACGUGGCUCAGGGGCUCCAGGGAUGUGGAGGGAGGAGACCCUGCAGGGCACCGUGACAGCUGCUGCAGCCGAUCCCGAGGGUAGCAGAGGCAGAGGGAACACAGCUGCUGGAGCCCAGAAGCACCCCAGGCCUGUAUCCCGCUCACCUGUGCAUUGCGUCCGUGUCUGCCGAAGUCACUGCUGCGUGGCAUGGGAAAGCAUCUUACCGCAG